rnacentral:rRNA from 1 species
UACGAAGGGGGCUAGCGUUGUUCGGAAUUACUGGGCGUAAAGGGCGCGUAGGCGGUCGUGACAAGUCACUUGUGAAAUCUCCGGGCUUAACUCGGAACGGUCAAGUGAUACUGUCGGACUAGAGUACAGAAGGGGCAACUGGAAUUCUCGGUGUAGCGGUGAAAUGCGUAGAUAUCGAGAGGAACACCUGCGGCGAAGGCGGGUUGCUGGGCUGAUACUGACGCUGAGGCGCGAAAGCAUGGGGAGCGAACAGG